rnacentral:lncRNA from 1 species
CUUUUCUCCACACCCUCUCCAGCCUUUACUUGCAGUCUUUUUAAUGAUGGCCAUUCUGACUGGUGUGUGGUCAUACCUCAUUUUUUCUUUGCAUUUGUUUCUUACCUACAAGGGAGCAGACAGAGGGCACUGACCUCCGUUUUCUAACCCACCCAGAGGGGAGGGGACCCUCCCACGCAGCCAGACUCUGUUCAUCUCUUGGAGUGCACCCCCACUCCCGUCCCCAGCUUCUGUGUACUUUUUAUUCUCAACCCCAAACCUGAAAUUCUUCACAAGAGGACUCUCCUCGGGGCUCUGAAGCACUUUGCCCCAUGCUCAAGGGCAGCUGGCAGUACCUGGGAAUGCCUAGAAAAACGGAAGGAGAGAGAAGGUCCCGUCUCUCCCCACGCGGUUGCCGGCCCUGCCAGCAGCCAGCAGGCAGCACGGAGCUGAGCCUGCAGCAGAAGCGGCCGUCUCCCCUUCCGGGCUGACCUGCCUGCGACCCUCCCCAGAGACGUGACAUCCCUCCUGCCAUCAGCCCCUGCAAUGUGACUCACUGCCUCCGGCGCUGACACAGCCUGGUGACAAUUACAGGGUAAGAGCGAUUCCAAACCGUGGAGCUUUCAGACCGGGGCUGUUAUCCUUAUGUAACAUUUCUAUUUCCUUUUGUCCUCGGAGCCUCAGGACUUCCGGCUCCUGAUCAGUCAUAGAGUGACUUCUGCUGAAGAGACUGGGGCAGGACAAAGGUUCUGGAUGUCUUUAUUCUCCUCUCUCUCAGCUCUCUUCAUUAAGCUAUCCCCUGUUCUCCACCCAACACCCCUGAGAUGGCUGAUUCCCUAUGACAAAUUGGGAACAAGGAGAGAGAGAGACAGCCACCUUGAUGGAGCCACUGCACAUGCUGGUUUGGCCGUGCUUUCCUCUGGUUUGGGACCAUCUCAGCUUGAAGCGCAACGCCUUCUCCCACCUGCCUUUGCCCUGAUGGGCAGGGACAGGAAAGCCACUGCUAUUCCUUUCAGACAAGGCCCCCAGAGCUGCUGGGAGCCACCUCGCCCCUCCCACUCCUCUGCUCCAGUUCACGUGGCUUUCCCCGGCUUGGCGGGGAGCUGGGCAGGGGGGCCCCAACCCCUAGCCUUCCUUGGGCUGCGGCAGUGACGGACUUAAUCAGAGAGGCGGGCUGCGGCCAUUCAGCCUGAAGGCCACCUGUGUUCCGAAUGUGCAAAUUCAUUCACUCGGGGAAAAGCCGCGAGUCCCAGGGGAGUCAACCGAUUUCACUGCACUGCACAUGGCUUUGGGCAAAUAAGCAAUCUUAUUUCCUCUUCCCUACCCCCUUAAAAACAUCAAUGAAGUGUUUUGUGGUGUUGCUGACAGCACAUGUCACUUCGAGGCUGGAAAUAAAAUCUUUGAGCUAUUUAUAACCA